UACGGGAGGCAGCAGUGGGGAAUUUUGGACAAUGGGGGCAACCCUGAUCCAGCAAUGCCGCGUGUGUGAAGAAGGCCUUCGGGUUGUAAAGCACUUUUGUCCGGAAAGAAAACCUCUGGGUUAAUACCCCGGGGGGAUGACGGUACCGGAAGAAUAAGCACCGGCUAACUACGUGCCAGCAGCCGCGGUAAUACGUAGGGUGCGAGCGUUAAUCGGAAUUACUGGGCGUAAAGCGUGCGCAGGCGGUUCGUUAAGACAGAUGUGAAAUCCCCGGGCUUAACCUGGGAACUGCAUUUGUGACUGGCGGGCUAGAGUAUGGCAGAGGGGGGUAGAAUUCCACGUGUAGCAGUGAAAUGCGUAGAGAUGUGGAGGAAUACCGAUGGCGAAGGCAGCCCCCUGGGCCAAUACUGACGCUCAUGCACGAAAGCGUGGGGAGCAAACAGGAUUAGAUACCCUGGUAGUCCACGCCCUAAACGAUGUCAACUAGUUGUUGGGGAUUCAUUUCCUUAGUAACGUAGCUAACGCGUGAAGUUGACCGCCUGGGGAGUACGGUCGCAAGAUUAAAACUCAAAGGAAUUGACGGGGACCCGCACAAGCGGUGGAUGAUGUGGAUUAAUUCGAUGCAACGCGAAAAACCUUACCUACCCUUGACAUGGACGGAACCUGGCUGAAAGGCUGGGGUGCUCGAAAGAGAACCGUCGCACAGGUGCUGCA
rnacentral:rRNA from 1 species